rnacentral:tRNA from 1 species
GUCCCUGUAGCGCAAUAGAUAGCGCGUUGGACUUCUAAACCAAAGGCCGUGAGUUCGAAUCCCACCUGGGAUA